GAUGAACGCUGGCGGCGUGCCUAAUACAUGCCAGUCGAGCGAACGGACGAGAAGCUUGCUUCUCUGAUGUUAGCGGCGGACGGGUGAGUAACACGUGGAUAACCUACCUAUAAGACUGGGAUAACUUCGGGAAACCGUAGCUAAUACCGGAUAAUAUUUUGAACCGCAUGGUUCAAAAGUGAAAGACGGUCUUGCUGUCACUUAUAGAUGGAUCCGCGCUGCAUUAGCUAGUUGGUAAGGUAACGGCUUACCAAGGCAACGAUGCAUAGCCGACCUGAGAGGGUGAUCGGCCACACUGGAACUGAGACACGGUCCAGACUCCUACGGGAGGCAGCAGUAGGGAAUCUUCCGCAAUGGGCGAAAGCCUGACGGAGCAACGCCGCGUGAGUGAUGAAGGUCUUCGGAUCGUAAAACUCUGUUAUUAGGGAAGAACAUAUGUGUAAGUAACUGUGCACAUCUUGACGGUACCUAAUCAGAAAGCCACGACUAACUACGUG
rnacentral:rRNA from 1 species